UACAGAGGGGGCUAGCGUUGUUCGGAAUUACUGGGCGUAAAGGGUGCGUAGACUGUUUAUUAAGUGAGGGGUGAAAUUUUUGGGCUCAACCUAAAAACUGCUUCUUAUACUGAUAGACUUGAGUGCGAUAGAGGAAAGUAGAAUUCCUGGUGGAGGGGUGAAAUCCGAAGAUUUCAGGAGGAAUACUCAAGGCGAAGGCAUCUUUCUGGGUCGACACUGACGUUGAGGCACGAAAGCGUGGGGAGCAAACAGG
rnacentral:rRNA from 1 species